AGCCUAAAGAAAAUAAUAAAUUUUAGGCAAUUUUAUAAAAAAUAUUUUCCGAUCAGGCGAUAUUUUGUUAUGAAAACCGCGAAACACAAAUGUAAACAUGUUAAUCAUUAAAAUUCUAGACUUAGACGCGUUUGGACUGUGUUUGUUUCUUGUUAGCACUCUGGAAAAACCUUUUUACCAUAUUCUACACACUUCAAAUAACAGAUUAUUUACGUGAUGGAUUCAUUGGAAUUGGCGUGACUAGUGGUUGUCUCCUCAACGGUAAAAUCAUUGUACGGAUAGUAAUUUCCAAUGCCGUAAACGUUGAGGCUCUGCACGGAUCGCGCCUCGGGGACGGUGAAGUAUCGCACCACCUUACCGAGAAACACCGGCUGUGCUAAUCUAACAAGUAAUCAUUCUUCAGGAUAGAAAAGAGAAACAGAAACGACCAAUGUAAAUAUGUGUGGAUGUUGUUUUCCACUUACCUAAUAGCAAAUUCACCGAAAGCUAAGAUGAUUCCAUAAGUUAAAAAUCGUAGAAAAAAGACGCGGCGUAGAACGCGCAUUAAAGAUGGCGUGCGCCCUGCCGCUUUGGCCUUUUCCACUUCAUUGUUCCAGACGGCUUCGAGCCUGUCUCCUAGGGCGGCGGACUGGUGGUCAGUGAGGGUUUCUGGGAGAUCAGCAACGUCCAGGUCAUGUCUUAGACCUUUGUAAAAUGUUGGUAUUGUGUAACUGGAAAAUAUUAUUUGUUCUAGAAAA